UACUUGGUCUCAAAAUAAGGGGUGGUGGAUCGUCUUUAUGUUUUUAGGACUAAUUUCUAAAUUGGGUAGAACCCUAAUCUUUCUCUCCUCCUAUUAAUCUUAAAGUGCCACCACCAUCCACCGAUAGAGAACCACACUAAGACAACCAUCAAACAAUCUCAUCCCCACUUCGCUCCGGUGAAACCACCACAAACAACAACCAAACAACUCAUUUCUUUCUCUUCUUUCUCCAACACACCAGCAAUAAGAAGCCACGAACUCCGAAGAAUCGGCGAGCUCAAAGAAGCGAAUCAGAUUUGACCACAAAUCAAAGCAAAUCAGCACACAACAACGAAGUAAACUAACACCAUCGACGACAUCUCCUGAAAUGAUCUGGCUGAGAGGAUGUAGCUCUGGCCGAAAACAUGUUUGCCUUUAUAUUCAUAUCAAAUUAAUUAUAAGCAAUUAUCAUAUUUUUGGUCAAUGAAAAAAAAAAUCCCUUUUAAGUUCAUGGACAUUAUAAAUGAGAUUUUUUUUAAAAUAUCAAUAUUUUAACAUUAAAAGGGUUCAUUAACAACACUUUCAAUAUUUAGUAAAAAUAUCAAAAUUUAAGUUUGUUAUUUAUCUUAUUUAUGUUCUUAUUAUUUGUUUUAUUUUUAAAAAGUAUAAUUUUUAUAUAACAAAUUUAGAGAAAUUUCGGGGAGAUAAUUAUUUUUUUAAAAGGAACAAAUGUUAAAAGUCUCAUAAGUUACAAUUUAUCGAAAUAUACCAGCUUUCAUCUUUUUUUUUCCAUCAUGUUAUACAAAACCCUUUUUUUCUCUAUUGUUCUAAAAAAAUUCAAUAUCCAAUUUUCUUAAUCUUUUUUUUGCUUCUAAACACUUUUAUUAAUCAAAAUAAAUAUCCAAUUUUCACUAAUUAUUGUUAGAAAAAUCACGAGAUUAAUAAAGUACCACAUCUAUAAAAUUUCAAUCUUAAUUUUCACUAAUUAUUGUUAUGAAAAUCAUAAUAAAAAAAUAUCUCAUUCUCACUAAUUAUUAUUAUGAAAUUUUAUAAUAAUACAUUAUAGUUUUAUCUAUUAAAUUUAAAUUUUUUUAAUUUAGAAACUUGAACAUCUAUAGUUUUAUCUGUAUUUGGCAUACUGUCUCACAGUGUAUUUGUUUUAUUUUUUGAAA